AUUGAACGCUGGCGGCAUGCUUUACACAUGCAAGUCGAACGGCAGCGCGGGCUUCGGCCUGGCGGCGAGUGGCGAACGGGUGAGUAAUGCAUCGGAACGUGCCCAGUAGUGGGGGAUAGCCCGGGGAAAGCCGGAUUAAUACCGCAUACGACCUGAGGGUGAAAGCGGGGGACCGAAAGGCCUCGCGCUAUUGGAGCGGCCGAUGUCGGAUUAGCUAGUUGGUGGGGUAAAGGCUUACCAAGGCGACGAUCCGUAGCUGGUCUGAGAGGACGACCAGCCACACUGGGACUGAGACACGGCCCAGACUCCUACGGGAGGCAGCAGUGGGGAAUUUUGGACAAUGGGGGCAACCCUGAUCCAGCCAUGCCGCGUGCGGGAAGAAGGCCUUCGGGUUGUAAACCGCUUUUGUUCGGGAAGAAAUCCUCUGGGCUAAUACCCCGGGGGGAUGACGGUACCGGAAGAAUAAGCACCGGCUAACUACGUG
rnacentral:rRNA from 1 species